CAAAGACCUUCUGUUCUAGAGUUCCAGGGAAAAAAUCCCUAGGUAACCUCUUCCAGGACCUGCUCAGAUUUGCCAAGAGUUAACAAAUGCUUAAUAUCCAGGAGUAUUUGCUGUGCCUGCCUGAUGCUCAGUAACUUGUCACUGCUUCGAGGGAUCAGGAUGGGAGAUCUAUUCUCUGUAGUCCAACCUAAAGACUAAAAUGCAUUUCUCUGCAAUUACACCAUCAAAAAG
rnacentral:lncRNA from 1 species